rnacentral:rRNA from 1 species
AGUUCGAUUAUGUGUUCAGAUUGAACGUAUUGGCGGGAUACACAUGCAAGUCGAACGCAGCACGGACUUCGGUCUAUAGCGAGUGGCGAACGGGUGAGUAAUGUAUCGGAACGUGCCUAGUAGCGGGGAUGUAACUACGCGAAAGCGUAGCUAAUACCGCAUACGUCUCUUCGGGGAAAGCGGGGACCUUCGGGCCUCGCACUAUUAGAGUGGUCGAUAUCGGAUUAGCUAGUUGGUGGGGUAACGGCUCACCAUUAAGGCGACGAUCCGUAGCUGGUUUGAGAGGACGACCAGCCACACUGGGACUGAGACACGGCCCAGACUCCUACGGGAGGCAGGUGGGGAAUUUUGGACAAUGGGGAAACCCCGAUCCAGCCAUCCCGCGUGUGCGAUGAAGGCCUUCGCCGGAAAUACCUUUGCGGAGAAAAAGAACGGCACGGGGAUGCUAACACUCCAGCAACUGACGGCAGCUCCGCAGAAUAAGCACCGGCUAACUACGCCAGCAGCCGCGGUAAUACGUAGGGUGCAGCGUUAAUCGGAAUUACUGGGCGUAAAGCGUGCGCAGGCGGUUCGAAAGAAAGAUGUGAACCCCAGAGCUAACUUUUGGAACUGCAUUUUUAACUACCGGAGCUAGAGUGUGUCAGAGGGAGGUGAAUUCCGCGUGUAGCAGUGAAAUGCGUAGAUAUGCGGAGGAACACCGAUGGCGAAGGCAGCCUCCUGGGAUAACACUGACGCUCGCGCACGAAAGCGUGGGGAGCAAACAGAUUAGAUACCCUAGUCCACGCCCUAAACGAUGUCAACUACGUUAGCCGGCCCGGUAGCGCAGCUAACGCGUGAAGUUGACCGCCUGGGAGUAUGGUCGCAAGAGAUUAAAACUCAAAGGAAUUACUGGGACCUGCACAAGCGGUGGAUGAUGUGGAUUAAUUCGAUGCAACGCGAAAACCUGCCUACCCUUGACAUGUCUGGAAUCGAAGAGAUUUUGGGAGUGUUUCGCAAGAGAACCGGAACACAGGUGCUGGCAUGGUCACCGUCAGCUCGUGUCAGGAGAUGUUGGUUAAGUCCUGCAACGAGCGCAACCCUUGUCAUUAGUUGCUACGAAAGGGCACUCUAAUGUGAGACUGCCGGUGACAAACCGGAGGAAGGUGGGGAUGACGUCAAGUCCUCAUGGCCCUUAUGGUAGGGCUUCACACGUCAUACAAUGGUCGGGACAGAGGGUCGCCAACCUUCGGCGAGGGGAGCCAUAAUCCCAGGAAAUCUGAUCGUAGUCCGGAUCGGUAGUCUGCAACUCGACUGCGUGAAGUCGGAAUCGCUGCACUCGCGGAUCAGCAUGUCGCGGUGAAUACGUUCCCGGGUCUUGUACACACCGCCCGUCACACCAUGGGAGUGGGUUUUACCAGAAGUAGUUAGCUCAACCGUAAGGAGGGCGAUUACCACGGUAGGAUUCAUGACUGGGGUGAAGUCGUACUAAAGGUAG